rnacentral:rRNA from 1 species
UCGAGAAUUUUUCACAAUGGGGGAAACCCUGAUGGAGCGACGCCGCGUGGGGGAUGAAUGGCUUCGGCCCGUAAACCCCUGUCAUUCGCGAUCAAUGCGCAUUAUUUAAAAGAUGAUGUGUUGAUAGUAGCGGAAGAGGAAGGGACGGCUAACUCUGUGCCAGCAGCCGCGGUAAUACAGAGGUCCCGAGCGUUGUUCGGAUUCACUGGGCGUAAAGGGUGCGUAGGUGGUGAGGUAAGUCGGAUGUGAAAUCUCGGAGCUCAACUCCGAAACGGCAUUGGAAACUACCUUGCUUGAGGGUUGAAGGGGGACUGGAAUUCUCGGUGUAGCAGUGAAAUGCGUAGAUAUCGAGAGGAACACUAGUGGCGAAGGCGAGUCCCUGGACAACACCUGACACUGA